CCAGGAGGGGAACAGGUUGGUUUGACUCAGAACCACAGCAGCUGGAGACGGAGCAGAUGAUGGAGUUCUGGUUCCAACCGGGCCGACUCUACUGGACUGAAACCGAAUUAUGAAAGAGUUUGAACUUGAUAAGUGGAUAUUAAAUGGAGAGUAAAUCUUGCAAACAGCAGCUGAUCCUCCGAGCCUCCCAGCCCGACCGUAACUCAUCGGAUGAGACGGAUCGCAUCCUGUUCGGGGCGGGAGGUCAAAGGUUUCCUCCCGAGAGACUCUUGAGCCGGCCUAGCUGUCAAAUGUUCUGGUUCUGAUCGUCUGCAGAAAGAUUCAAAGCAGAGAUGACCUCUGACCUCUGGAGCUCAGACUCCAACACAAACAGUGAAUUCAGGAACAGGAGAAGAAGAAAUCUCAGGCAUGAAACGGGAGGAACAGAAACCAGAACACCGCUCAGGGAUUACCGGAUCUCCAGGUCCGACCCGGAUCAGAACAACGGGACGCAGCGACGUUAUUUAUUAAACGAAAAUAAGAGUUAAUACCUCAUCCUGCGCACUGACUGAGCCUUUAACGGGUAAAUUAAAUCCACACAGGAAAACAAGAACUGAACACAUCACUGCUUCACUUCAAUGUUCUCUAGGAUUUCCUGUUUUGAAGAGUUUCUAAACUCUGAUCAGUUCAACA